UAGCAAGGUUAACCGAAUAGGGGAGCCGGAGGGAAACCGAGUCUUAAUUGGGCGUUAAGUUGCAGGGUAUAGACCCGAAACCCGGUGAUCUAGCCAUGGGCAGGUUGAAGGUUGGGUAACACUAACUGGAGGACCGAACCGACUAAUGUUGAAAAAUUAGCGGAUGACCUGUGGCUGGGGGUGAAAGGCCAAUCAAACCGGGAGAUAGCUGGUUCUCCCCGAAAGCUAUUUAGGUAGCGCCUCGUGAAUUCAUCUCCGGGGGUAGAGCACUGUUUCGGCUAGGGGGCCAUCCCGGCUUACCAACCCGAUGCAAACUGCGAAUACCGGAGAAUGUUAUCACGGGAGACACACGGCGGGUGCUAACGUCCGUCGUGAAGAGGGAAACAACCCAGACCGCCAGCUAAGGUCCCAAAGUCAUGGUUAAGUGGGAAACGAUGUGGGAAGGCCCAGACAGCCAGGAUGUUGGCUUAGAAGCAGCCAUCAUUUAAAGAAAGCGUAAUAGCUCACUGGUCGAGUCGGCCUGCGCGGAAGAUGUAACGGGGCUAAACCAUGCACCGAAGCUGCGGCAGCGACACUGUGUGUUGUUGGGUAGGGGAGCGUUCUGUAAGCCUGUGAAGGUGUGUCGUGAGGCAUGCUGGAGGUAUCAGAAGUGCGAAUGCUGACAUAAGUAACGAUAAAGCGGGUGAAAAGCCCGCUCGCCGGAAGACCAAGGGUUCCUGUCCAACGUUAAUCGGGGCAGGGUGAGUCGACCCCUAAGGCGAGGCCGAAAGGCGUAGUCGAUGGGAAACGGGUUAAUAUUCCCGUACUUGGUGUUACUGCGAAGGGGGGACGGAGAAGGCUAUGUUGGCCGGGCGACGGUUGUCCCGGUUUAAGCGUGUAGGUGUGUGUUCCAGGUAAAUCCGGUUCACUUUAACACUGAGGCGUGACGACGAGGCACUACGGUGCUGAAGCAACAAAUGCCCUGCUUCCAGGAAAAGCCUCUAAGCAUCAGGUAACAUCAAAUCGUACCCCAAACCGACACAGGUGGUCAGGUAGAGAAUACCAAGGCGCUUGAGAGAACUCGGGUGAAGGAACUAGGCAAAAUGGUGCCGUAACUUCGGGAGAAGGCACGCUGACACGUAGGUGAAGUGAUUUACUCAUGGAGCUGAAGUCAGUCGAAGAUACCAGCUGGCUGCAACUGUUUAUUAAAAACACAGCACUGUGCAAACACGAAAGUGGACGUAUACGGUGUGACGCCUGCCCGGUGCCGGAAGGUUAAUUGAUGGGGUCAGCGCAAGCGAAGCUCCUGAUCGAAGCCCCGGUAAACGGCGGCCGUAACUAUAACGGUCCUAAGGUAGCGAAAUUCCUUGUCGGGUAAGUUCCGACCUGCACGAAUGGCGUAAUGAUGGCCAGGCUGUCUCCACCCGAGACUCAGUGAAAUUGAACUCGCUGUGAAGAUGCAGUGUACCCGCGGCAAGACGGAAAGACCCCGUGAACCUUUACUAUAGCUUGACACUGAACAUUGAGCCUUGAUGUGUAGGAUAGGUGGGAGGCUUUGAAGUGUGGACGCCAGUCUGCAUGGAGCCGACCUUGAAAUACCACCCUUUAAUGUUUGAUGUUCUAACGUGGACCCGUUACCCGGGUUGCGGACAGUGUCUGGUGGGUAGUUUGACUGGGGCGGUCUCCUCCUAAAGAGUAACGGAGGAGCACGAAGGUUGGCUAAUCCUGGUCGGACAUCAGGAGGUUAGUGCAAUGGCAUAAGCCAGCUUGACUGCGAGCGUGACGGCGCGAGCAGGUGCGAAAGCAGGUCAUAGUGAUCCGGUGGUUCUGAAUGGAAGGGCCAUCGCUCAACGGAUAAAAGGUACUCCGGGGAUAACAGGCUGAUACCGCCCAAGAGUUCAUAUCGACGGCGGUGUUUGGCACCUCGAUGUCGGCUCAUCACAUCCUGGGGCUGAAGUAGGUCCCAAGGGUAUGGCUGUUCGCCAUUUAAAGUGGUACGCGAGCUGGGUUUAGAACGUCGUGAGACAGUUCGGUCCCUAUCUGCCGUGGGCGCUGGAGAACUGAGGGGGGCUGCUCCUAGUACGAGAGGACCGGAGUGGACGCAUCACUGGUGUUCGGGUUGUCAUGCCAAUGGCACUGCCCGGUAGCUAAAUGCGGAAGAGAUAAGUGCUGAAAGCAUCUAAGCACGAAACUUGCCCCGAG
rnacentral:rRNA from 1 species